UACGUAGGGAGCAAGCGUUGUCCGGAAUCACUGGGCGUAAAGGGCGCGUAGGCGGCCGAUCAAGUCGGGGGGUGAAAGCCUGUGGCUCAACCGACAGAAUUGCCUUCGAUACUGUUUGGCUUGAGACCGGAAGAGGUUAGUGGAACUGCGAGUGUAGAGGUGAAAUUCGUAGAUAUUCGCAAGAACACCAGUGGCGAAGGCGGCUCACUGGCCCGUAACUAGACGCUGAGGCACGAAAGCGUGGGGAGCAAACAGGG
rnacentral:rRNA from 1 species